rnacentral:rRNA from 1 species
UACGUAGGGUGCAAGCGUUAAUCGGAAUUACUGGGCGUAAAGCGUGCGCAGGCGGUUUUGUAAGUCUGUCGUGAAAUCCCCGGGCUCAACCUGGGAAUUGCGAUGGAGACUGCAAGGCUAGAAUCUGGCAGAGGGGGGUAGAAUUCCACGUGUAGCAGUGAAAUGCGUAGAGAUGCGGAGGAACACCGAUGGCGAAGGCAAUCCCCUGGGCCUGCACUGACGCUCAUGCACGAAAGCGUGGGGAGCAAACAGG